rfam:Ictidomys tridecemlineatus contig103441, whole genome shotgun sequence.
CGGGUUGUGGCUCAGUGGUAGAGCACUUGCCUCACACACAUGAGGCACUGGGUUUGAUCCUCAGCAUCAUAU